GGGUGGGGUGCCAGGAGCAGGGGAUGAGUGUGGAGAUGGAGGAGCUUGCGAGGUGUGCGAGCGGUGAGCCUCUGCUUGGUUAGAGCAGCAGCAGCAGGAGCAGAAGCAUGGGACCACGCCGUGGCACACCGUUCCCACAGGAGACGCUCGCAGCAGGAGCAGGAUGAUUGAUUGAUGUAGCCAUGGUCUCAGUCCAGACAUGAUGAUCCCUGCCUCCUUGAGGAGGCAAGACGAACGAAAUUGAGAGAUAGCGAGAGUGAGCGUGAGAGAGAGGGAGAGAGGAAGAGAGGUAGGGGUGGUGUUUAUGCUGCCGCGCUGUCUGUGGUAUGAUGUCGGACGUGUCGCAUCAGACUGCAGGAGGAGUUUGAAUAUUAUAUAUAUAUAUAUAUAUAUAUAUAUAUUUUGGUUCUCGUGGUUUGAUGAUUGAGGGGGUGUCAUGGUACAAUUAGAGUGACUGUCGUGGAGUCGUGAGAGGGGAGGAGGAGUUUGGCCUUGCAAGCAUCACCGGGAGUGAAAACAUAGGGACUGGGAGCGAUGCCGUGGAAAUGGAGGGGGAAGGAGAGGGAGAAGGAGAGUGCGAAGGAGAAGGGCGUCGAUUGUGACAGACAUUUUGGGGUAAUCAGGAAGAUUUAAUGGCGUUCGGGAGGAUGUGAUCGUGGUUCUGCCGCAGAUGCACCUUAGGUGCUUUGUUUUCGAUAUGAUACCGUUUUCCGCUCAUGUGUGGGAUAUUCGGAUAGUCCAAGUCUGUAUGAGAUAUAAAGCGCGUGGAUUUGGAGGGAGUUGUGCACUUCCGGCGAUUCGAGUGUUGUAGUGCCGAGUGGUACAGGAUGAAUCCUGAGGCUGUGAGAGUGGAGGAUUUUAUUGCCGUCUCCUGAUUGUUCUUCUUCGAUUCUUCCUGCUGGAUGUGGCGAGAGAUGCCACGAUGGAGGCAAUGCAAAGCGUCGUAUUUCCUUGUUUCGCGAACCUGCUUGUAGUGUGACAUGUCCACUAAGUCCCCGUUUUUAGCCAGAAUUUUGUGUGUAUAUUCUUCUUGAUUCCAACUUCUGAUAGUAGGUCGCCGCAGUUAGGGUAGGAAACGAGUGAGAAUUACUGCAGCACUUGAUCAACUGGCACCCUAACGUCUUUGAGACCAAUUCGAUUUGGUGUUGAUGCUUUUGAUUCUGAAAGCUUAAGCUGUUUCUUAGACCUUGAAUCAGGUGUUUUAAGUUCACUUUUGGUCAAGUUCUGUUUAUUAGGUGAGUUGUAAUGUAGUUCAGUCCCACCCUUUACUCUCUCUAUCCCACCUUCGGCACGAUUCAUUUUCAAUGCCGUAAUUUAAAUGCUAUUACUGCUCCUACCCUCAGAUAAUUUCCACCUUCUACCUCUUUUUUAUUUUUAUUUUAGUUUUCCCCCCAUCUGAACGCUUUCAGAGUGCAAUUGGCGUGUGGAAAGAUUUUUAUUUAUUUAUUUAUUUAUUUUUAGUUGAUGAUUGGUACGUGCUUGAUUAUUUUACGUCUUGUUUUGUAAUAGUGAGUGGUUCAAGCACUUCUACAAAACUCGCUCUAAACUAAGUUGAUUUCUAUUUUACAUGCAAUUGGUUUCCUAGCGGUGAAGGGAACGCUUCAAUUAAGUUGGUAUAGAAUUUGGGGUAGUUUGCACGGGUACACUGCCAGUGAAAGAGUCUGUUGUCCAGAGGUAUGCGUUCUUUAGCUUUUGUUGCGGAAACAUCCUCAUAAAUAAGUUUGUGGGUUUGUAGUUGAUAGUGCUGUUGACGGGCCUCUACUGAUUUUUCGAGUCAUUGUGAGGGGUUUACAGGAAGGCGGGGAUUAAAAAGCUAGGAAAAGGACAAUUUUCUUGGUGCUCAGUGUCCAUUGCAUAUUGCGGGUUUUUAUUUGGAGAAUCAAAGAGAAUUUGAGCUUUUGGAGAAAAGUUUGAUUUCCGUCGGAGGAAAAUUUCGCGUGGAAACAAUUUUAUGAAUUGAUAUGAGCGAGGACUGUAUUGGAAUUUUACCAGGACCUGGUGGAGUUGGGAAGUCUAGACUUGGUGCUGGAUUCUUCGCAGUAGUCAUCAUGGACAUGAAUCAGAAACAAGAUCCAGAUGCUCAAGAAGCAACAUUAUUUUACCCUGUUCCCCAUUCCCACUGGUUCCCCCGGUCUCUUGCUUUUAAGUCUUAUAGACCUUCAAGGAGGAGACCGGAGCUGGGUCCGGGCCAGAGAGGAGCAAGAAAACCUCACUCUCAGAUUUCACGACCCUUGUCAGUCAAGUUGACCAAGGAGAUUGUGAAUACGUACCGUGUUUGCAAUCCAAGAUUUCAGUUUUCGGAGAGCCACAACCCUAAGAGAUUUUUAACCAUUCCUUCCGCUGGAGUUUCUAAUAAUGGUUCAGACAACGAGAAUCAUGAUCUUAUUUUGUACUUUGGACGUGUCUUGGUUAACGAGGACAGAACGCACAGAUAUGUUGUGAAAGAUAUCGUUGGAUGCGGUACUUUUGGGCAGGUCGCGAAGUGCCUUGUGCCGGAGACCAAUGAAUAUGUGGCUGUGAAAAUCAUUAAAAACCAAAGUGCUUACUCGGCGCAAGCCAAAGUAGAAAUUGGCAUCCUUCAUAGGUUGAAUAAUAUACGUGAUUGGAGAAAUGAGAAUCAUGUUGUGAGAAGCUUUGACCAUUUCAGCUAUGAAGGGCACCUCUGUAUCGUCUUUGAGCUUCUUGGAGUUAACUUGUUUGAGCUUCUGAAGACGAACAAAUUCAAAGGGAUCUCCUUACAACUGGUGCGGAUCUUCACUGGUCAGUUGCUGGAUGCAUUGAGUUUAUUGCAUGAUGCACGUGUAAUACACUGCGACCUCAAGCCGGAGAACAUUCUGCUGUCUAGUUUGCGUGCUGCGGAGUUGAAACUUAUUGACUUUGGAUCGGCAUGCAUGGAGGAGCACACAGUUUACUCGUACAUACAGAGCCGAUUUUAUCGAUCACCAGAAGUUGUACUUGGUCAUCCGUAUACAACAGCUAUUGAUAUGUGGUCAUUGGGAUGCGUCGCAGCUGAGCUAUUCCUUGGUUUGCCAUUAUUUCCUGGGCAAUGCCCUUACGACCUCCUCCUUUUCAUCAUUGAAAAACUAGGAAAACAACCUUCUGAUCAUAUUUUACAGAAUGCAAAGAAUACAAGCAAAUACUUUAAGGUGAUAAGUGCAGCUCCACAACCAGAAAAUGGCCACAUAAGUGGACAUAAAUCAGUUUAUCAAUUCCUUACCCCAGAAGAGAAUGAAGCUAGAGAAAAAAAGAAACCUGUUAUUGGAAGGCGUUACAUGAGCGGGAGCCUUGAGGAUAUGAUUAUGACCUAUCCAAUGAAGUCAUCUGGAAGAGAAGAACUGGAAAAAGAAAGAUUCAGCCGAAAAGUGUUUAUCGAUUUCUUGAGGGGACUUAUUGAAGUGGAUCCUCACAAGAGAUGGACACCUCAUGAGGCUUCUCAACACCCUUUUCUUACUCAGGAACCCUUCACGGGUUCUUUCAGGCCACGAACAGAACGAAUAUCCCAUGCACCUUCUGGUCUGGGGCUGAUGAUAGAGCACCCCUCCUUGUUUGGGCAAGGUCUUUCCCCUCAUGUCGGGAUCAUGAGUUCAACCGCCCAACUAAUCGGAGGCCAGCAACUUCAGCCCGUAUCCUUACCGGUUCCAGGUAGUCCAGCAAGUUCUGGAGACAACGGUACUUUAGGCAGCAGUUUAGGAAGUAUCGGAGAGGGUACAGGCUCAUCUAUGAGUAUGCCACCUCGUUUGAAUGGACAUACUUCUUUUGGUCCUUGGUCUCCUGAUACCAGACGGCACCACAUGCAACGCAUGCAAAAUGCUGGACACACUCAACUUGGAACCAGUCCUUCGGCAAGUGGAGUGUGUUCGUUUUCACUAGGAGCUAGCCCUUCGCAUCAGUUUCAUGUAUCUGGUCCUCAGUUUAUGGUCUCUCCUGCAUCUCAGCAAAUAUCGUCUCCAGGUUCUCAAUAUAUGGGUUCGUCAGGUAUUUUGUACCAGGGAUUUCCAGGGUCAACAUUCCAGUCAUCGCCAGGGUCAAGUGUUCCUUACGACAACGUUCUCUUGGCUAGGCUUCAGCAACAUAAUGCUGCCGGAAACACAGACGUUAGUAGCAGCAACUUUGGCCACGUGGAAGGCAGCCUUCAAUUGAAAACAUUAAGGGUUUGUGGGAACACGGGGAUGGUUGUCCAGCACCAACUCAACAACACUUGCCCUCCGGGAGCACUUGGGCCUCAGUUCUUUCCGUCGGAGACUACUACUGAAGCUGGUGAUGAGGAAUGUGCAGGUUUCGGAGAUUUUGACGGUGAUUAUCGGGAAGAACUUCUUUUUGAACAUGAUCCUGUUCACGAAUCAAGUGUGUUUCCUAUGCCGUCAGAGAUGGGACCUUCUGCUGGGGUGAUGGGAUGCGGUGGAGCACGGUUAGGGCCAGGUCCAGGUCCAGGAUAUGGACCUGGUGGCCCAGGCUCUAGAUUCACAAAAGCUCCUCUGCAGGGUUCGUACGGAGGGUAUGGUCGAGGUCAAACGUCAAAGCAAGGCUCAGCCUCGUCUAGUCGCCUUAGCCACAAACAUCACAAACAACCACACGCGCAUAACCAGCAACACACUCAUCCUCAUUCCCCACAGCAUUCUUUGACUUCUGGAUCCUAUUCUGGUAACAGCUCUGGGCCUCCUAGCCGAAGAUUCUCUUCUGGAGAGCCUACUAGCCACGUCUCACCAGCUGGGGUGCUUCAUUUCCAGCAGAGACAACAGCAGCAUCCACCUUUACAUUUCCCUGACCAUCAACAUCUGUCUGGUUCACCUCUUCAUCGUUCUGGAAACAUAGCAGAGAAGGAGAAGAAAAGAGGGGAUGGUCUCUUACCCUCGCCGCAGAUGGGACCUAGAGGCUUCCAUGCUGCGGGAGUUAAUAAUGAACAGUCUUUGGGAAUGGGUGGCCACCCUGUAGCUUGGGGUAACCCUGAUGGACAUCAUGCACUGCCUAUGCUUGCUAGGUUGGGGCAGUUCCACGAUCUUGGAGUGGGUACAACAACAUUUCCUGCACAGCCGCCUGCAUUUCUAUCGAACCAAAUUUAUGCUACUGGGCAGUUCUUUGCUGGUCGCAGGCCUGGACCAGCUUUAGUGGGAUUGAACAGACCACCGCCAACUGGCAGGGGAGUCUAUCGGAAGUAACGUAUUCACUCACCAAAUCUUAUUCGAAUCAAUAUGUGAGCGACGUCUGCAAUUGGACCUACCUAGUCAGUAGUCUAUUCCGGAUGUUGUAUCAUGUCGGAUAAACCAGAGUGCUUUGAUGAUGGGAACAUGGCCUUACUUCAGCACCUAAAGAACGUAGGAGUCUUUGUUAAAGUGAGUACUCGAACAUAUUUUUCAAUGAACGUGGAAGUAUGGGCCUCUACCUCUUUGCUAGGCCAGAUCGGUGGUUAAUGUGGAGGAGUUCUCCACUCUCAUUUCAGUGCUCUUUGUGUUCCGGACCACUCGGUUCUGACAUGUCAUGCCAAAAUGAGUGGGUUUGGCGUCGCUGGUGGUUUGGCAGCAGCUGUUUGUCACAGACGUUUUUGCUGCCUUGCGCAGAUUUCUGAGACCUUAAGACUUACUGACUGCAUUAUGGAAGUUGGAGUUGAACCUCCAGGUCUAUUUUUAUGAAGCUAGCUUGGUUGCCAAAAUGCUUGUUUCCUGGUGUUCAAAUCGACCAUAGGUAUUGAUUCAAAAUAUUGAGUUUUAAAAAUUGCUACAGUCGAGCCUGUCAGGACUCUGCUGUCCCAUUACCAUUGUGGUGGUGGGAACUGGGCGUGAAAAUUUCUGCUUUUCUUUUUAGGUGUUUAGAGUGAUCUCUUAGGGAGCAUUGUGUUUGUGAUAAGGGACAAAGUUUUGAAGCUGGUUUCAAUAAUUGAAAGGUGAUUUCGAGAUUACUCUUCCAUUUGGCAUAUUUGUUCCAACUUCAAGAUGUAAGCUUUAUCCUAUGAAUGAUACUAGCGUGACGUGUAUCCGUUGUA